rnacentral:rRNA from 1 species
GACGAACGCUGGCGGCGUGCUUAACACAUGCAAGUCGAGCGGUAAGGCCCUUUCGGGGGUACACGAGCGGCGAACGGGUGAGUAACACGUGGGUGACCUGCCCUCAGCUCUGGGAUAAGCCCGGGAAACCGGGUCUAAUACUGGAUAUGACUCCACGGUGCAUGCCGUGGGGUGGAAAGCCUUGUGCGGCUGAGGAUGGGCCCGCGGCCUAUCAGCUUGUUGGUGGGGUGAUGGCCUACCAAGGCGACGACGGGUAGCCGGCCUGAGAGGGCGACCGGCCACACUGGGACUGAGACACGGCCCAGACUCCUACGGGAGGCAGCAGUGGGGAAUCUUGCGCAAUGGGCGAAAGCCUGACGCAGCGACGCCGCGUGAGGGAUGACGGCCU